GGCGCGUUAACAAAGCGGAUGUAGCGGAUUGCAAAUCCGUCUAGUCCGGUUCGACUCCGGAACGCGCCACCAUUGACUCCGGAACGCGCCU
rnacentral:tRNA from 1 species